GAAGGUUUUUUUUGAAGAAAUUUUGCUUUUAAGAUGUUGAUUUGAUGAUUCAAAUUAUGUCUGGAUUUGUUCCCGAGUUAGAUUUUGAGAUUUUUUUUCUUUCAAUUAGCGAAUCUGAUUUCAUCUCAUUGUUGAGCUGAAUGAAACAUAGGAUUCAUGUAGCCGACCGUAGUUGGGAAAAGGCUUGGUGGCGGUGGUGGUUGUUUGUUGAUUUCAUCUCAUUGUUCUUUGACCAAAUGUGAUUGAUAUGGUGGUAGAAAUGCUGUCAAAUCUCGUGUUAGUUCAUUUUUUCAUUUCAUGGCCGAAAAGUGGGAAGGAGAGAAAUUUGGAAAUGAAGACUAUUUGACAUUGAAAAUGUUGGGUAUGAAAUUCUAUAUUUUCACACUUUCUUCAAUUUCUUAGCGAUCAGGUGAAUAAUCAGGCUCUCUUUGGUUCGUUAAUUUAGUAAGAGAGAAGAAGAAAAGGAAAACAAUUUCCUCUUCUUUUUUUUUUUUGUUUUUUUUUUU